rnacentral:rRNA from 1 species
AACGCGAAGAACCUUACCAGCUCUUGACAUGUCCCGUAUGAGUACCAGAGAUGGAACUCUUCAGUUCGGCUGGCGGGAACACAGGUGCUGCAUGGCUGUCGUCAGCUCGUGUCGUGAGAUGUUGGGUUAAGUCCCGCAACGAGCGCAACCCUCGCCCUUAGUUGCCAUCAUUUAGUUGGGCACUCUAAGGGGACUGCCGGUGAUAAGCCGCGAGGAAGGUGGGGAUGACGUCAAGUCCUCAUGGCCCUUACGGGCUGGGCUACACACGUGCUACAAUGGCGGUGACAAUGGGAUGCAAUGGGGCAACCCUGCGCAAAUCUCAAAAAGCCGUCUCAGUUCGGAUUGUGCUCUGCAACUCGAGCACAUGAAGUUGGAAUCGCUAGUAAUCGCAGAUCAGCACGCUGCGGUGAAUACGUUCCCGGGCCUUGUACACACCGACUGUAC